UACAGAGGUCCCGAGCGUUGUUCGGAUUCAUUGGGCGUAAAGGGUGCGUAGGUGGCGCCGUAAGUGGGGUGUGAAAUCCCGGGCUUAACCCCGGGACUGCAUUCCAUACUGCGGUGCUUGAGGACUGGAGAGGAGACUGGAAUUUACGGUGUAGCAGUGAAAUGCGUAGAGAUCGUAAGGAAGACCAGUGGCGAAGGCGGGUCUCUGGACAGUUCCUGACACUGAGGCACGAAGGCCAGGGGAGCAAACGGG
rnacentral:rRNA from 1 species